UCAGCAUGGCCUUUAUAUCCUGGGCUACACACACGCUACAAUGGGAAGGGACAAUAGGUUGCGAAGCCGCGAGGCGGAGGCCAAUCCAGCAAAACUUCCCUCAGUUCAGAUUGCAGGCUGCAACUCGCCUGCAUGAAGUUGGAGUUGCUAGUAAACGCAGGUCAGCCAUACUGCGUUGAAUUACCGGUUCCCGGGGCUU
rnacentral:rRNA from 1 species